CCCUAGUACUGCGAGUGAAGCGGGAAAAGCUCAAAUUUAAAAUCUGGUGGUCUUUGGUCGUCCGAGUUGUAGUCUGGAGAAGCGUUUUCCGUGCUGGACCGUGUACAAGUUUCUUGGAACAGARCRUCAUAGAGGGUGAGAAUCCCGUCUUUGACACGGACUACCAGUGCUUUGUGAUGCGCUCUCAAAGAGUCGCGUUGUUUGGGAAUGCAGCGCAAAAUGGGUGGUAAAUUCCAUCUAAAGCUAAAUAUUGGCGAGAGACCGAUAGCGAACAAGUACCGUGAGGGAAAGAUGAAAAGCACUUUGGAAAGAGAGUUAAACAGUACGUGAAAUUGUUGAAAGGGAAACGCUUGAAGUCAGUCGCGUCGGUCGGGACUCAGCCUUGCUUUUGCUUGGUGCACUUUCCGUUUGACGGGCCAGCAUCAAUUUUGACCGCUGGAUAAAGUUCGAGGGAAUGUGGCACCUUCGGGUGUGUUAUAGCCUUUGUUCGCAUACAGUGGUUGGGAUUGAGGUCGCAACACCCUUUUGGCCGGGGUUCGCCCACGUACGUGCUUAGGAUGCUGGCGUAAUGGCUUUAAACGACCCGUCUUGAAACACGGACCAAGGAGUCUAACAUGCCCGCGAGUGUUUGGGUGCAAAACCCAUGCGCGUAAUGAAAGUAAAAGUUGAGACCUCUGUCGUGGGGGGCAUCGACGCCCGGUCUUGAGCUUCGGCGACGGAUCUGAGGUAGAGCGUGUAUGUUGGGACCCGAAAGAUGGUGAACUAUGCCUGAAUAGGGUGAAGCCAGAGGAAACUCUGGUGGAGGCUCGUAGCGAUUCUGACGUGCAAAUCGAUCGUCAAAUUU
rnacentral:rRNA from 1 species